CUUUUGGCACUCCCUCGCGCUCCUUUCUCCGGUGGCAUAGCAUCCUGUGGGUUGAAACACGAGAAAACAAACCAUAAGAUGUGCCAAAAUGGGGCGCUCUAUUCUCUUUCACUGUCUCAGAGUCUCAAACUCAUCUCCACGCCUCAGUUCUUCGCUCGGGUCGCCCGGUGGUAAAAACUGGAAAAAAAUCGCCGCCAAUUCGUCAGCACUGCUCACUAAUCAGACACAACGGCUGUGGUUUUCGUUGUCACUGCAGUGUCUCGCUCUCGCAACCUGCUGCUCCCGAGACGUUCAGAAGCUCUGCAAGAUUAUGUUACCAUAUGAUACACAACAAUUAUCAAAGGCAAAAAGGGAUACAGCGGCUAUCUAUUUGGCAUGUGGAGUUGACACCUCCAAGGCUUCUGUUUUCAUGCAGUCUCAUGUUCAUGCCCAUGUAGAAUUGACGAGGCUACUAAGUUCUACCACACCAAUUGGUUGGCUGAAUAGAAUGAUUCAGUUUAAGGAGAAAUCUCGUAAAGUGGGAGAUGAAAAUGUUGAGUUGCUCUCUUGACUUAUCCUGUUUUGCUGGCUUCUGAUAUUCUUUUAUAUCAGGUUCCUGAACACCUAAUAACGCCAGCUGGAGCCCAAGUUAUGUCCCUCACUGAUGAUCUUUCCAAGGUUACAAGCCCUUUAAGUUGUAUGUUAUAGUUUAUGAUUUCAUGAGGUGUCUUGAAUAUAUUUUGGUAUCAAUUAAAGGACAAAACUCAACAAAAUAAUUUCUUUUUUGCAUCUACCCUUGUAUUGCUAGUAUUACAGAUUUGUUGUUAUAACAUGCGGAGCUAUGAUAAAGAAUAAUUAAUAAAAUCUUCUUUUAAUUGCUAUAGUUUUUAUAGUUUGAAUACUUCUUUUCCUUACUGUAAUUUCUCUGGGGUUAAAUCCUAUAGAUGUCCAAGUCUGCACCUUCAGAUCUGUCUCAUAUCAAUCUUCUUGAACCCAAAGAUGUGAGAAGACAAUUCUCUUUCCAUUUUCUUGACUUUCUUUCCGAAUGUUGUAACAUGUUCAGGGUUUUAUUAUUGAUGCUUUCCAAUUUAAAGCCCCAAUGAUAUGCUCCUUUCUGCUGAAUUAUUUUGUAUUUUUUUUCAGCCUUCUGGUCUUGCUGUUAUCAGUGUGUAGGUUACGUGGUCAACUGGCUGAAAUUUUAUUUUGUAAAUGCUAAUUGAUUUGAAUCCCAAAUUUUACUGCAUAUUGUCCUCGGAUGACAAGUCUGCUUUGACCGCAGAAUGCCAAUAAAGUUUCUUUUGUCACCAGCCUUUCAUCAAAAAGUUGUUUCACUAUUCUCAUUUUUACCUGUUGUUGAUUUAUUUUUUCAAUGAUUUUAAGCAAUAAAACAGCUUUAGUUACACAAAUUGUACUUGUGUUUUAAGUUCAAAAAGUUUUACUGUAGAACUAAAUUUCUCAGCAUUAAAGAAAAUAUCUGUAGGAGGUAUUUUGGAGAAAAUAUCUGUACUACGACAGCCUUAAAGUUAACUUUUGAAUAAUCCAUCAUUGCCCACAAAAUUUUGGAGUAUACUGUUAUCAUAUUCUUGAUGAGUUAAAAAAAAAAGGAAUUUAUUUGAAGGCCCACAAAUUUUUUGUUUCAGUUGCCUCAACCUCUCCCUUCCAGACAGGUGCAUUUUAUAUUCCUUAUAAUUCACUGUACUUGGUAGUUUUACUCUUCUUUUCCUCUCACCAAUUGUUAUGUAAUUGGAUUGAGUAUUUAAUGAUGCUUGUUUUGGUUGUCCUAUGGUAAUGUAAUACUAUUUUCUCAAGUCUUCCAAGGAUCCUAAGUUGUUAUCUUGUUUGGUAUAAGGAAAUAGCUUCAUGACUUGUUCUUCUUGUCUAUGUAAUUGCCUAGCAUGCUUGAUAGGUUAAGAUGCUUCACUUUUCUAUAUUUGUGCUCUCUGGUAAAUUACUGGUUGUCAUGCCUCUAAUUUCUUGGAACAUUUUUUUUUGCCAUGUGAGGUUUGGGGCAACUUCACUGGUAAAAUCUUGACUGGUGGAACUGUUGUUAUUUUAUAGCCUCUUAAUACUCAUAGGACAUAAGAUGGAUUAAUACCAUACUCAACUAUUCAUUAAGCCUGACUGCAAUAUAAUAAGAAAUCUCUCUCUAUACUGUAAUAUGUACCCUGGUUAGAACAUGCAAGCUUCUUUUUCAUUAAUAAAGCGGUGAACUAUUCCUAUUUCACAUUUUAAGAUUUUUAAUAAAUUUAUGCUAUUAUAAGGGCAUGGAGAUCAGUAUUAAGUGCCCUACAUGUGGAGAAAUAUUUGUGCCUCUUUAUCUUUUAUAAGUUCUUUAGAAAACCUUUACAUGUAGGGUUCAUCACAUCCAUGGUGGAAUUCCUAUCAAAAUGAGAUAGUGAUUGCAAGAAAGAAUGCCUAUCCUUCCAAUGGGAGGUGAUCUAUUUAUAUUCUUUUCCCAUUCCACCCACCAGCAUCCUUUGUUUCCUUUUACAAAGAAGAUGGGACCCCACAUCUGUAAAUAUUGUUGGAUAGAGACAAAAAUGUCAAGGGGUAAAAUUUUUUUCUUCUCUCCCUCCCUCUCUUUCAUUGGUGGGGGCAAAGGAAUAAAGAGAGCAUUUCUGCUCAAUACUUCUUUCUCCUUUAAAUGAAUAGAGAAUUGCACAAACAGAUGGACAGAGAAAGACAUGUCUGCUUGUUUAAAGGAAAAAAAUCUUGAUAGAAUUUUGCACAAUUAUUGUUUCGUAAGCAAAUGAAAAGGAGAAAGAAAUGGAGAUGUCAUUGUACUAGCCUUGGAUCUACAUAUAUGAUCUUGACAGAGACAUCAUCUGGGGAAGAAAUUCUAGGUGUUGUGCCUUGUUAAGAUUGGACGUGACAAAGCCAAAAGAACUCUAGAUAUACAUAUGCUCUCACGAGCUUAUAUGCUUCUGCCACAUUCCCUCUCCCACAUAGGAUCAGGUUGUUUUCUUUUCCUCUUCCUCUUUUCCGGUGUGAAUGAUCAAAACCAUCAGACUAAUGACACCAGAUCUUAUCUUAUUGGUAUGGAUAACAGAUACUGACCCACAUCUUUCACUUGUUUGCCUUAGAAGAUUUCAACUUAAGAAUGUAAUUAAAUCCUAUAAUGGUGGUUUGUAUAUGAGUCAAUUUAAAUUACAACGUUCUUAUUUAUUCAUUCGCUAUUAUUGCAUCUUCUUCAUUAUUGUUUAUUUUUCAGGAACCCAAUAAACUUUCUGCAUAAAACUACAAAGUGGAGAAGAUGCGCAUAAAUUGACAGAGAAGUUGAGCUUACUUUCUCUCUCUCUCUUUUUUCCUUUUUGUCCUAAGAAAAAUGUAAGCAUCUUUAGUUAUUGAUUAAAUUGAAGCAUCAAAUUAUUGGUUGCCAAGUAGGAUUCAGAAUCUUCAUGCAUCUUUAUUGGUAAGAUGAUAUAUUUUGACAUGUACACCUCUUGUCUUGUUUUUAUAUCAUCUUCCUCUCACCAUCCCCUUUAAUAAUCUAUAAAGACCUUGCUUGCUUGUUGAUAUAGAGCAGCAAUUUAGUAGUCUCAAAAAGGCCCAUUAUAUGUUGCAAGAGAAUUAAUAAUAUUUCUCAUCCAACUACCUUUGUUGUCUUAUUCAAUUCUCCACCAUUUUGCUGCUUCUUUGAGAAUGGACAGAAAUCACUUGCAAUGCCAACUUGCCCACACAAAGAAGUCUCUCUUUGAUCAGGUUACAUCAACAUUCCAAUGACAGCAAUUACAUUUGUUAAGUUCACCUAUAUACAUAAUUGGCAAUUUAAAGCUACAAUUUUAUAUUUAUUAAAUAUUUUUUGUAGUUUUCUUUCAUGAAAAUCGAGAAAAAAAUUGCAUUUACAUUACCAAUCAAACACAUUUUAAGUACUGCUCAGUUCAAAAUUCUGCAUGCGCACAGUAGUCUGCAGAUAGUUUAGAACCCAUGAUGUGGUAACCUGUAAAGGCAUUACUCAUGCGACCGAAACGUGACAGAACUAGUAACAAAGAUUCAAUUGACAAACAAGCUUUCUUAUUAUCAUGAAUUCUUGAUUAGUGGCAGUUGCAUUUUUAUGUACUAAAGCUAAUGGUUGAAUUAAAUUGUGCUCAGCAGUAAGUGGACAACUUAGUUUUUCUUAAAUGGUGUUGCAGGGGUAUAUUGAUAAAGAGCAAUUCAAUCAGCUGGAGGAAUUGCAAGAUGAUGCUAACCCUAAUUUUGUAGAGGAAAUUGUUACAUUGUUCUACAAUGAUUCAGCAAGAUUGAUACAGAAUAUAGAACAUACU